rnacentral:lncRNA from 1 species
UUUUUCCUUUCAGUCUAGGAGAGAGACAGUAACAGCCCAACAGGGCAAAAUGUUAGAGCAGGUUUUAUAUCUGACACUUCUUCCUGCGCUCUACAGAAAAUUGUCGUCACCAUCUCCAGGAACCUGGAGUCCAGUUACAGAGUUGUGAAGAUAUAUAUAGCAACAGUAUCCAUGAAGCUUAGACUUUUUCAUCCAAAGAAGAUUUCCCCAAAACAAGAAGUGUGA